rnacentral:rRNA from 1 species
ACUCAAAUGAAUUGACGGGGGCCCGCACAAGCGGUGGAGCAUGUGGUUCAAUUCGACGCAACGCGAAGAACCUUACCCAGGCUUGAACAGCGAGUGACCACUCCUGAAAAGGAGCUUCCGCAAGGACACUCGUAGAGGUGCUGCAUGGCUGUCGUCAGCUCGUGUCGUGAGAUGUUGGGUUAAGUCCCGCAACGAGCGCAACCCUUGUUUGCUGUUGCCAUCAGGUUAUGCUGGGCACUCUGCAAAGACUGCCGGUGAUAAACCGGAGGAAGGUGGGGAUGACGUCAAGUCAGCAUGGCCUUUAUGUCUGGGGCUACACACGUGCUACAAUGGCCGGUACAAACCGUUGCAAACUCGCGAGGGUGAGCUAAUCGGAGAAAGCCGGUCUCAGUUCGGAUCGUAGGCUGCAACUCGCCUGCGUGAAGUUGGAAUCGCUAGUAAUCGCGGAUCAGCACGCCGCGGUGAAUACGUUCCCGGGCCUUGCACACACCGCCCGU